rnacentral:rRNA from 1 species
CAGUAGCCGCGGGAAUACAGAGGGUGCGAGCGUUAAUCGGAUUUACUGGGCGUAAAGCGUGUGUAGGUUGUUGUUCAAGUCAGUUGUGAAAUCCCUGGGCUCAACCUGGGAAUUGCAGUGGAUACUGGGUCACUAGAGUGUGGUAGAGGAUAGUGGAAUUUCCGGUGUAGCAGUGAAAUGCUUAGAGAUCGGAAGGAACAUCUGUGGCGAAGGCGACUAUCUGGGCCAACACUGACACUGAGGCACGAAAGCGUGGGGAGCAAACAGGAUUAGAUACCCCGGUAGUCCCUGUCUCUUAUAC